rnacentral:piRNA from 1 species
UGCCUCAGUGAUAAAAAGGAAAGUAGUC